UAUAUCACAAGGAUUUGACCUUGCCUUAGGUGUAAUCUUGAAGGCAGAGCCUAUGUUGUACCCACAUUCUCUUCAUCUAGAAGAUCCUUGGUGCACAGUAGGUGCUUGGUAACUAUUCUUCAAACCUCUUUAUGGUAUUAGCUCCUAGAUGAAUAUGUGUGAAUAUGCUUGUCAUUGGGAUCAGGGAGGCAUGACAGGAGGAAUUAUGGUUUAGUAACAAGGCUGGUUUUGGAGACAGAGGGAAAAUCGUGCUUCUGCCUCUUACCAGAACGCUUUAUACAUCAAGAAACCUUCUGAAAUUCAACUCAAUGUCUAUUUUUCAAUGAUGAAGGAGGAUAACACUUAUCUUGUACUGUAUCACCAGUUAUCUGGGAUUAGAUUUGAGGGAUGAGACAAACCCACCUUUGUGGAAGUGGGAUAAGGUUUUUCUAAGGAAGUGAAAUGAUCACAUUUUGAUGGUUUGGAGAAGGAGGGGUUCUCAGAGAGAAAGGUGAGCCUGGGGAUGGGAAGUGGGGAAGGCAGAGAUUUGGGGUGUGUCUGUGAGAGGAAUCCCUAUUAAGGGUUGACUUUUUCAUGGUUGUUUACAUGGUCCUGUGGGUAAAAAUGAUAUUUCCCCAGUCAUAUUUUAAUUCUCUCUAGUUAUUCACAGCCCGUCUGCACAGCCUUGUUUGGGGGUGUCUGGGUGAAUAAAGAGAACAAGGAGUAUCGAGGAGUUUGGCUGACCUGGAUGCACUGUAUCACUGGUUUAGAGAAAUCUGUGGUCCGGUUCUGCUCAGUGGCCAGCAGCACACUUGGAGCCAAGGGGAAAGCAUGCAAUGAAGUCUCCAUGGCAUUGUGGAAGACUCAGAAGCAGACAUUUGGUAAUCUCUGUUUAUCCCACAUACGAAUCUAGAUAGUUGUCUUGAAGGCAUGGAAAGAUAAUGCUUGUGUUAUAUAAAAAUUAGCAAUACUGAAUAUGAACUGCCUGCCUGGAGUGCUCAGCAAUCAGCUGCCUUUUGUUGUCAUUAUGUUCAUCCAAUCUGGACACAAUUAUUAUUCAAAGGUAGGAUAGCACUAAAUGUAGAGCACAAGCUCUAAAGCCAGAGUGCUUGUGUUUGCAUUCUGGCUCUAAUAUUGAUUAAUUUUGUGACUUUGGUCAAGUUAAUUAAAUGAUCUAUAACUCAGUUUCCACAUCAGUAAACUGGGGAAAUAGGAUUUACCUCAUGAGAUUGUUGUGAGGAUAAAUAAGUUCAUCAAUGUAAAGUGCUUAGAAGAGUGUCUGGCAUAUGGUAAGUGCUUGAUAAAUGUUAGCUAAAAAUGCCACCUAGCCAUUAUAAAAAAUGUCAGCAUUAGAUGAAAUUGUAAGGUUGUGUAGACUCAGUGGUUUCCUGGAGCUGCUCUGUACAGUUAUGAGAGCUGACUGUGCCAUCUUUUCCCAACUUCAUGCGGAGUGAUAAGAUAAUAGCUUAAAAUCACCAUAUUUGUGUAUUCACACCAUUGAAAUUGGCAAAUGUUACAAAUCUAGAUCCCCCCGACUCCAGAACUGGUUGUUAGACAUUUAUUAGCUGGUUAUGUUUAUCAGAGAAGAAUCUUUUGUCUUUGGCAGGUGAUUCUUUGAGUUCUACCAAAGGAUUCAAAGAAUUAUUAUUACCAAAGAUUAUUCAAAGAUUAGUUAUUAUCUUUGAAUAAUAAUUAUUACAAAACAAUUAACUUUCCAUUUUCUUCAGACUGUGAAUAGGAUCCAAAGCUUUUCCCCCAUCCAGUAAUGUUAUAGGUUGCAUUGUUUUGGGAACUCUGGACUAGUCAACAUGGGUUUUCAUCCUGACUUCAUCACUCACUAGUUUAUUAACUUUGGGAAAAUCUCUUAGUUUUUACGAGCCUUUUUUCCCAAUAAAAUAUUAAGAAUAAUAUCUGACAAGCCUACAACACAGAUUUCUUAAGUUUAAAUGAAAUAAUACCUUUGAAAGUACUUUAUAAAGUCCUUAUAUGCAAGUUUUUUUUUAUCAUAUGGUACCAUAAAAGGAAAGGUAACAAUAAAAAUCUUUCGACUUUGAAUUUUUGACUACAGUACCAUUGUCAAAGCCAAAGUGAGUAUAAUUUCUUCACAAAUUAUUUUAUCCUUAUAGAAAAAGCUGGUAACAUCUCUUAAUGCCCACAGAACAAUUGUGUAAGGAUUCUUUUCUAACAAGAGAUCAACAAAAUUGAUUUCUAUGUAUUCCUACAAAGACUGCUUCCUGGGACUACUGUGAAAAAAUCUAUUAUAUUCGAAGUUUUUUUUUUUAACUUAGCAGGCAGCAUUAGGAGUGAG
rnacentral:lncRNA from 10 species